rnacentral:rRNA from 1 species
GCUGCGGCAGGCUUAACACAUGCAAGUCGAGCGGAUGAAGGUAGCUUGCUACCGGAUUCAGCGGCGGACGGGUGAGUAAUGCUUAGGAAUCUGCCUAUUAGUGGGGGACAACGUUCCGAAAGGAGCGCUAAUACCGCAUACGUCUACGGGAGAAAGCAGGGGACCUUUGGGCCUUGCGCUAAUAGAUGAGCCUAAGUCGGAUUAGCUAGUUGGUAGGGUAAAGGCCUACCAAGGCGACGAUCUGUAGCGGGUCUGAGAGGAUGAUCCGCCACACUGGGACUGAGACACGGCCCAGACUCCUACGGGAGGCAGCAGUGGGGAAUAUUGGACAAUGGGGGGAACCCUGAUCCAGCCAUGCCGCGUGUGUGAAGAAGGCCUUUUGGUUGUAAAGCACUUUAAGCGAGGAGGAGGCUACCUAGAUUAAUACUUUAGGAUAGUGGACGUUACUCGCAGAAUAAGCACCGGCUAACUCUGUGCCAGCAGCCGCGGUAAUACAGAGGGUGCGAGCGUUAAUCGGAUUUACUGGGCGUAAAGCGUGCGUAGGCGGCCAAUUAAGUCAAAUGUGAAAUCCCCGAGCUUAACUUGGGAAUUGCAUUCGAUACUGGUUGGCUAGAGUAUGGGAGAGGAUGGUAGAAUUCCAGGUGUAGCGGUGAAAUGCGUAGAGAUCUGGAGGAAUACCGAUGGCGAAGGCAGCCAUCUGGCCUAAUACUGACGCUGAGGUACGAAAGCAUGGGGAGCAAACAGGAUUAGAUACCCUGGUAGUCCAUGCCGUAAACGAUGUCUACUAGCCGUUGGGGCCCUUGAGGCUUUAGUGGCGCAGCUAACGCGAUAAGUAGACCGCCUGGGGAGUACGGUCGCAAGACUAAAACUCAAAUGAAUUGACGGGGGCCCGCACAAGCGGUGGAGCAUGUGGUUUAAUUCGAUGCAACGCGAAGAACCUUACCUGGCCUUGACAUACAGAGAACUUUCCAGAGAUGGAUUGGUGCCUUCGGGAACUCUGAUACAGGUGCUG